UACGUAGGGUGCAAGCGUUGUCCGGAAUUAUUGGGCGUAAAGAGCUCGUAGGCGGUCUGUCGCGUCUGCUGUGAAAACUCGGGGCUUAACCCCGGCCUGCAGUGGGUACGGGCAGACUAGAGUGCGGUAGGGGAGACUGGAAUUCCUGGUGUAGCGGUGAAAUGCGCAGAUAUCAGGAGGAACACCAGUGGCGAAGGCGGCCCGCUGGGCAGUGGCUGACGCUGAGGCGCGACAGCGUGGGGAGCAAACAGG
rnacentral:rRNA from 1 species